GUUCGCUUUGGCAGCACAUAUACUAAAAUUGGAACGAUACAGAGAAGAUUAGCAUGCCCGUCACUUUCUUUAGUAAACCUUCUAUUUGCUAUUCUAUUUUUUU